CCCUUGGAGUUGCUCUGACUACGGAGGCAGUACUUUGGCCAAAAGAAGUCAAAUUGGCUUGAGCCGAGGUUCAGCCGUUCAGGUCGCCGACGCCGCGCACGUCCCAUCCGAUGGCUGCCGCAGUCCACCUCCGGCCUCUCCACUCGUUCGCCUUCCCUCUCCCCGCAGUGAAGGCCGCGCCCAGCUGGCUCCCGCUCCAGGCGAAACCCGGCGCGCGGAGGACGGGCAGCCGCGUUGCUCUGCUCGUCCCCUCCGCGUCUGCCCCCGCGCCAGCGUCUCCAUCUCCCUCGGGCAAGGAUGGCACCACUGCGUCGGCUGCGACAAAGUGGGUGGAGUGGAUCCCGCGCGCUGCGGCAGGCGCUGGGUCGGCAGUGGGCCCCGAGCAGGUGCUCAGGCUCAUCUCUGGCGCCGCGGCCACGCCCAUCUGCCAGUUCGUUGACAGCCCGCGAACCUUUCUCCAUUCCGUCGACCCGCGCGUCAAGCUGGUGUGGCUCUUGUCCCUUGUUGUCCUACCAGCCAGGUCAAAUAUUUAUAUGCGGUUUGGUUUGGUAGUAUUCCUGGCCCUUAUUUCAAUGUGGGUUUUACCAAAUCAUGUUUGGAAGGAUCAACUUGGAAGGGUUACUCUUCUUUCAGGAUUCAUAUUCAUCAUGCUGGGAUUUGGUGCUGAUGGUGCACCUUCAUUAGUCCAGAUGAGAACGCCUCCACCUUCUGUUCUAGGCAUACCGAACAUUCCUUGCUCCACAAGUGGGUAUUCUUACACAAUCUUGAAACUGGGACCACUGCAAUUUACAAGGAAAGGCCUAUCAUUAGCAAGUACUUCAGCAAGCCUCUCCUUUGCAAUAUUCCAAAGUGCAAGUCUCUGCUUGACAACAACCACUCCUGAGCAGCUUGCUUCUGCUUUGUGGUGGUUUAUGAGUCCACUGAAGCAUAUCGGUGUGCCAGUGCCUGAGAUAAUACUUACAUUACUACUCUCAUUGAGGUUUAUCAAUUUAGUAUUUGAUGAGGUUCGCAACUCAGCUCUAGCGAUUGUAGCACGCCGGAUAAAUUGGAAAAAGCUGACAGCUAUGGAAACUAUAGAUAUUUUCUUCAGCUAUGUCCAACGGAUAUUUAAAAAUAUAUUUGAUCAUGCGGAGCAAAUAUCCAAGGCAAUGGUAGCUCGAGGAUUUCGUGGUAAUCCAAUCAAUCACAAGAUCUACUUUCUCACAGAAUCAUCAUUUGGAAUUGCGGAUUUCUUUUCGUUGCUUUGCCUAUUGGUUGUAGUGAGCUUGGCUUCCUUUUCUGACCAAUUAGUUUGAUGGUAACAAAAAGGUAUUCAUGGAUAUCCACCUGUUUAAUUUUGUUUUGGUGAUAACAAGAAUGUUGUGGAAAUGAGCUAGAGUAUGAUCCUCCAUUUGAAACUGGUGCAAAAUAUCAUACUAAGGGCUAGUUUGGAAACUUAAAUCUCAUUCGGGAUUCCUAGGGAUUGUGUGGAAAAAUAGCUCAUUUUUCUCUCAAUCUCUGGGAAUCCCAGAGGAGAUUUAAGUUUCCAAACUAAUCCUAACAUGACGUUCCAAGCAGGCAGAACAUGUCUUGGAUAUUUUUGCGAGGCAGAUAAUCACGGAAAAAGCUAAAAGCACACGUGAACUGUUUGAUGAUGUUUGUUGAGUUGACCCUAGUUAGAAAAAAAACGUGAGCGAAUAUCAUUGAAAGGAAAUUGUGUCCGCAAUGUAUCCUUGUUGAAAUGGAAUUGUGUUCCCAAUUGUAAGUAGUAUUAGGUCUAUCAUAAGUCAAACUUUUCUAGCUUUAAUCGAAUUAACAGAAAACUGUAGAAAAUAUGUACAGCAUCAAAUAAGAUUCAUUGUAUCACGCA